rnacentral:rRNA from 1 species
GAUGAACGCUGGCGGCGUGCCUAAUACAUGCAAGUCGAGCGAACAUACUAGGAGCUUGCUCCUCUGACGUUAGCGGCGGACGGGUGAGUAACACGUGGAUAACCUACCUAUAAGACUGGGAUAACUUCGGGAAACCGGAGCUAAUACCGGAUAAUAUAUUGAACCGCAUGGUUCAAUAGUGAAAGACGGUUUUGCUGUCACUUAUAGAUGGAUCCGCGCCGCAUUAGCUAGUUGGUAAGGUAACGGCUUACCAAGGCAACGAUGCGUAGCCGACCUGAGAGGGUGAUCGGCCACACUGGAACUGAGACACGGUCCAGACUCCUACGGGAGGCAGCAGUAGGGAAUCUUCCGCAAUGGGCGAAAGCCUGAAGGAGCAACGCCGCGUGAGUGAUGAAGGUCUUCGGAUCGUAAAACUCUGUUAUUAGGGAAGAACAAAUGUGUAAGUAACUAUGCACGUCUUGACGGUACCUAAUCAGAAAGCCACGGCUAACUACGUG